AUGCACGCUGGCGGCGUGCCUCAUACAUGCAAGUCGAGCGCACAGAUAAGGAGCUUGCUCCUUUGACGUUAGCGGCGGACGGGUGAGUAACACGUGGGUAACCUACCUAUAAGACUGGAAUAACUCCGGGAAACCGGGGCUAAUGCCGGAUAACAUUUAGAACCGCAUGGUUCUAAAGUGAAAGAUGGUUUUACUAUCACUUAUAGAUGGACCCGCGCCGUAUUAGCUAGUUGGUAAGGUAACGGCUUACCAAGGCAACGAUACGUAGCCGACCUGAGAGGGUGAUCGGCCACACUGGAACUGAGACACGGUCCAGACUCCUACGGGAGGCAGCAGUAGGGAAUCUUCCGCAAUGGGCGAAAGCCUGACGGAGCAACGCCGCGUGAGUGAUGAAGGUCUUCGGAUCGUAAAACUCUGUUAUUAGGGAAGAACAAAUGUGUAAGUAACUGUGCACGUCUUGACGGUACCUAAUCAGAAAGCCACGGCUAACUACGUG
rnacentral:rRNA from 1 species